GACGAACCGUGCGAACGUUGUUCGGAAUCACUGGGCUUAAAGGGCGCGUAGGCGGGCUGCCAAGUCUGGGGUGAAAUCCCACGGCUCAACCGUGGAACUGCCUCGGAUACUGGCGGCCUCGAGGGAGGUAGGGGCGUGCGGAACUGUGGGUGGAGCGGUGAAAUGCGUUGAUAUCGGAAGGAACACCGGUGGCGAAAGCGGCGCGCUGGACCUUUACUGACGCUGAGGCGCGAAAGCCAGGGGAGCAAACGGG
rnacentral:rRNA from 1 species